rnacentral:rRNA from 1 species
UGGGGAAUAUUGGACAAUGGGCGAAAGCCUGAUCCAGCCAUGCCGCGUGUGUGAAGAAGGUCUUCGGAUUGUAAAGCACUUUAAGUUGGGAGGAAGGGCAUUAACCUAAUACGUUAGUGUUUUGACGUUACCGACAGAAUAAGCACCGGCUAACUCUGUGCCAGCAGCCGCGCUAAUACAGAGGGUGCAAGCGUUAAUCGGAAUUACUGGGCGUAAAGCGCGCGUAGGUGGUUUGUUAAGUUGGAUGUGAAAUCCCCGGGCUCAACCUGGGAACUGCAUUCAAAACUGACUGACUAGAGUAUGGUAGAGGGUGGUGGAAUUUCCUGUGUAGCGGUGAAAUGCGUAGAUAUAGGAAGGAACACCAGUGGCGAAGGCGACCACCUGGACUAAUACUGACACUGAGGUGCGAAAGCGUGGGGAGCAAACA